rnacentral:rRNA from 1 species
GACGAACGCUGGCGGCGUGCUUAACACAUGCAAGUCGAACGAAGUGGCGGACGGGUGAGUAACGCGUAAUCAACCUGCCCUUCAGAGGGGGACAACAGUUGGAAACGACUGCUAAUACCGCAUACUGAUGGAGGUGAUUGCGUCUGAUUAGCUAGUUGGAGGGGUAACGGCCCACCAAGGCGAUGAUCAGUAGCCGGUUGGGGAGGAUGGACGGGCCAAUUGGGACUGGGACAAGGGCCAGACUCCUACGGGAGGCAGCAGGGGGGAAACUUCCGCAAUGGACGAAAUUCUGACGGAGCAACGCCGGGUGAGUGAUGACGGCCUUCGGGUUGUAAAGCUCUGUUAAGCGGGACGCGGUACCGGAAUAGAAAGCCACGGCUAACUACGUGCCAGCCGCCGCGGUAAUAC